rnacentral:snRNA from 1 species
GGAUCUGAGAGUGACCUGGCACUGACAUCUGUCACCCCAUUGAUUGCCAGGGUUGAUUUGGCUGAUCUGGCUGGCCAGGAGGGUGUCUGCUUUCUCCUUCACUGCUCCAUGUGUGUCCUUCCAGAAGCUGCAAGUUCAAAGAGGACAACCUUUCCAAUAGAAGAGGAUCGUACCUCGGUCAAGGGUAUAUGAGUAUCUGUGCUCCCCUGCUAGAAAUUCCAAACAAGCUUUCUAAGUCUAAGGCUAGGGAGGGCAAGGGGAGCUAGGAGAAAUAUCAAAUGGGUACAAU